rnacentral:rRNA from 1 species
UUUCCAGACUCCUACGGGAGGCAGCAGUGGGGAAUAUUGCACAAUGGGGGAAACCCUGAUGCAGCGACGCCGCGUGAGUGAAGAAGUAUUUCGGUAUGUAAAGCUCUAUCAGCAGGGAAGAAAAUGACGGUACCUGAUUAAGAAGCCCCGGCUAACUACGUGCCAGCAGCCGCGGUAAUACGUAGGGGGCAAGCGUUAUCCGGAUUUACUGGGUGUAAAGGGAGCGUAGACGGCAGCACAAGUCUGGAGUGAAAUGCCGGGGCUUAACCCCGGAACUGCUUUGGAAACUGGCAUGCUGGAGUGCCGGAGGGGCAAGCGGAAUUCCUAGUGUAGCGGUGAAAUGCGUAGAUAUUAGGAGGAACACCGGUGGCGAAGGCGGCUUGCUGGACGGUAACUGACGUUGAGGCUCGAAAGCGUGGGGAGCAAACAGGAUUAGAUACCCGCGUACA